rnacentral:rRNA from 1 species
AGAAUCAACGCUGGCGGCGUGCCUAACACAUGCAAGUCGAACGAGAAAGUGGAGCAAUCCAUGAGUAAAGUGGCGCACGGGUGAGUAACACGUGACUAACCUACCCUUGAGUGGGGGAUAACCUAGAGAAAUCUGGGCUAAUACCGCAUAACACCUACGGGUCAAAGGAGCAAUUCGCUUUGGGAGGGGGUCGCGGCAGAUUAGCUAGGUUGGCGGGUAAUGGCCCACAAGGCGAUGAUCUGUA